GUUAAUAGGGCUGCGAAGCAGGUUACUUUGAUAUAGUAAAUAGUGAAUUAUUAUUCCGUUAAUA
rnacentral:tRNA from 1 species